UACGUAGGUGGCGAGCGUUAUCCGGAAUUAUUGGGCGUAAAGGGUGCGUAGGCGGUACAUUAAGUCUUUAGUUAAAGGCAGUGGCUCAACCAUUGUAUGCUAAGGAAACUGAUAUACUAGAGUGCAGUAGAGGUUAGUGGAAUUCCAUGUGUAGCGGUGAAAUGCGUAGAUAUAUGGAGGAACACCAGUGGCGAAGGCGGCUAACUGGACUGUAACUGACGCUGAGGCACGAAAACGUGGGGAGCAAAUAGG
rnacentral:rRNA from 1 species